rnacentral:rRNA from 1 species
CAGCCGCCGCGGUAAUACGUAGGUGGCAAGCGUUAUCCGGAAUUAUUGGGCGUAAAGCGCGCGCAGGCGGUUUCUUAAGUCUGAUGUGAAAGCCCACGGCUCAACCGUGGAGGGUCAUUGGAAACUGGGGAACUUGAGUGCAGAAGAGAAAAGCGGAAUUCCACGUGUAGCGGUGAAAUGCGUAGAGAUGUGGAGGAACACCAGUGGCGAAGGCGGCUUUUUGGUCUGUAACUGACGCUGAGGCGCGAAAGCGUGGGGAGCAAACAGGAUUAGAUACCCCCGUAGUCCCUGUCUCUUAUAC